CCUACGGGAGGCAGCAGUGGGGGAUAUUGCACAAUGGGGGAAACCCUGAUGCAGCGACGCCGCGUGAGUGAAGAAGUAUUUCGGUAUGUAAAGUUCUAUCAGCAGGGAAGAAAAUGACAGUACCUGACCAAGAAGCCCGGGCUAACUCCGUGCCAGCAGCCGCGGUAAUACGUAGGGGGCAAGCGUUAUCCGGAUUUACUGGGUGUAAAGGGAGCGUAGACGGUUAUGUAAGUCAGGAGUGAAAGCCCAGGGCUCAACCCCAGGACUGCUUUGGAAACUGUGUAACUAGAGUACAGGAGAGGCAGGCGGAAUUCCUGGUGUAGCGGUGAAAUGCGUAGAGAUCAGGAGGAACACC
rnacentral:rRNA from 1 species